UUGAAUACUUGUAGAAUGGAUCUUCAUCCAAUUAUUCUGCUCUGUGCCUUAGCUGUUGCUGUUUUUGGAAUUAAACCAAACAAAACAUAUGUUCAUGCUGAGGAACAUUCAAGUGUUACUUUAUCCUGUAGUUUUUCUGCUUCUGGAGCUUCAGGUAACCUCUACUGGUACCGUCAGUAUGGGAGAUCAAAACCUGAAUUUCUUGUACUCACCUACGACACUGUAAAAGAAGCUCAGCGCUCUGAUGUAGAUCCAAGAUUCUCUGUUAUCAUUCCAAAAAAGGAACAUGUGGAUCUGAUCAUCUCCUCUGCUGCUGUAUCAGACUCUGCUCUGUAUUACUGUGCUCUGAGGCCCACAGUGACAGGAAACACAUCAGCUCUCUACAAAAACCUGGUACGAUGA